rnacentral:rRNA from 1 species
UACGUAGGGUGCAAGCGUUAAUCGGAAUUACUGGGCGUAAAGCGUGCGCAGGCGGUUAUGCAAGACAGAUGUGAAAUCCCCGGGCUUAACCUGGGAACCGCAUUUGUGACUGCAUAGCUGGAGUACGGCAGAGGGGGAUGGAAUUCCGCGUGUAGCAGUGAAAUGCGUAGAUAUGCGGAGGAACACCGAUGGCGAAGGCAGUCCCCUGGGCCUGUACUGACGCUCAUGCACGAAAGCGUGGGGAGCAACCAGG